GGACAGUGUCUGGUGGGUAGUUUGACUGGGGCGGUCUCCUCCUAAAGAGUAACGGAGGAGCACGAAGGUUGGCUAAUCCUGGUCGGACAUCAGGAGGUUAGUGCAAUGGCAUAAGCCAGCUUGACUGCGAGCGUGACGGCGCGAGCAGGUGCGAAAGCAGGUCAUAGUGAUCCGGUGGUUCUGAAUGGAAGGGCCAUCGCUCAACGGAUAAAAGGUACUCCGGGGAUAACAGGCUGAUACCGCCCAAGAGUUCAUAUCGACGGCGGUGUUUGGCACCUCGAUGUCGGCUCAUCACAUCCUGGGGCUGAAGUAGGUCCCAAGGGUAUGGCUGUUCGCCAUUUAAAGUGGUACGCGAGCUGGGUUUAGAACGUCGUGAGACAGUUCGGUCCCUAUCUGCCGUGGGCGCUGGAGAACUGAGGGGGGCUGCUCCUAGUACGAGAGGACCGGAGUGGACGCAUCACUGGUGUUCGGGUUGUCAUGCCAAUGGCACUGCCCGGUAGCUAAAUGCGGAAGAGAUAAGUGCUGAAAGCAUCUAAGCACGAAACUUGCCCCGAGAUGAGUUCUCCCUGAGACUUUAGGUCUCCUGAAGGAACGUUGAAGACGACGACGUUGAUAGGCCGGGUGUGUAA
rnacentral:rRNA from 1 species